GGGGAUGUAGCUCAGUGGUAGAGCGCUUGCUUUGCAUGUAAGAGGCCCUGCGUUCAAACCCCAGCAUCUCCA
rnacentral:tRNA from 1 species